CGGAGGAUCCAAGCGUUAUCCGGAAUCAUUGGGUUUAAAGGGUCCGUAGGCGGGUUUAUAAGUCAGUGGUGAAAGCCCAUCGCUCAGCGAUGGAACGGCCAUUGAUACUGUAGAUCUUGAAUUAUUAGGAAGUAACUAGAAUAUGUAGUGUAGCGGUGAAAUGCUUAGAGAUUACAUGGAAUACCAAUUGCGAAGGCAGGUUACUACUAAUGGAUUGACGCUGAUGGACAAAAGCGUGGGUAGCGAACAGGAUUAGAUACCCUGGUAGUCCACGCCGUAAACGAUGGAUACUAGCUGUUCGGAGCAAUCUGAGUGGCUAAGCGAAAGUGAUAAGUAUCCCACCUGGGGAGUACGUUCGCAAGAAUG
rnacentral:rRNA from 1 species